rnacentral:lncRNA from 1 species
CUUCUCUACCAUGAACUCGCUGGCUUAUUGAGAGAGAUGAAAGCAAAACAUUUGCCAGAUGAGAAGAAGACAAAUUAAGAGCUCUGCUAGGGGGAACUAAGGGGCUGCUCGGAGCUGCAGAAAGCAGAACUGAGCUAAGUGGGUCGUAAUAUCUCAAGACAAAGCAGCUCCUCUCUGUGCUGGGAUGCACUUUGCUAUCUCCGAGUAUCCUGCUUGGAUCCAUCCGGACGUUUUAACGCACAUCCAGCCACGUGGCCUCGGGUAACCCACAUCUGUGCCUGUGCAGGUCCCUGAGCAUCGCUUGGGAUUUUAUCCGAAGUGCAGGUUUGCUCCUGUGCUCUCUCCAAGGACAGAGCUGAACAGGGGGGAAGCAAACACUCAUUUGAGAGAUGGUUUCUGCAGGCCUCAAAGCUGAUAAUGCCAAGGUUACAGGAACUUUGCUUAUGUGAAUGAACAAAUCCCCCUAAGGUGGGUAGGACUGCGACAUCUGUGGGACAGCAUCACUGCCCUACUGCCGGUGUCACCACCAGCAACACCGAGCCCACAGCAGCUGGGUGUACCCAGCACGGGAUGCAGGCUGGUGUAAUCCUGGUUUUCAUUAUUUUAAUGCUUUUUCUCUUACUACCUCCCCCAUUCACUGAGCAGUGCGUAUCAGCAGGCAGGUAUGAAUGGAAAAAGCCCUCAUGGGUUGCCAGCGACCUCCUAAGCCAGCCUGGAUGCCCUAGGGUCAGCCUGAGACUUUUUUUCUGGAUGCUCCAAGAUCAGUCCGGGCUCUUCUUGGCUGCAGGUCUCUCACCUUCACCUCCAGCCAGAGUUUGCUGGGACUGAAGGCUUCCCUUCCUGGCCACUGGCACUUGAAUCAGCAUCACGAGGAGCCUGCAGUCGUUUCUGUGGCUUGGGAUCAAAUCUUAAUCAUUUGCUCAUAGGCUUUUCUUUGCAGCACAUCAGGCUCCCAUGAAAGCAGAGCAAACCUGGUGUCACAGGCUGGCCAGAGCAUGGCAAGGGAAGGAAACAGUGCUGGUACCUCCAGGCCCAAACCGUCCAAGGAGAACCCAGAACCAAACUUUUCCAUAGUUUUCCAAAUUUGUAGGUGAAAUUCUUGCCUUGUUAUCAUCAUCUGCUUCAGUGGGGCCAGAGCUGUGUUCCCCCAAGACCUUAUUUCUGGGCAGUCUUUAUACUGAGGGUACUCCCUGGAAGAGAGGAGCCGGCUGGACAGAAACCUGCUCUGCCCCUGCCACCUGCAGCAGCUCUCUGCACAAGGAGUGGUGGCCAGAGAGGCACACGGUCACUGCAGGAGAAAGGAUUUUGUUUUACAGACCAAAGCCAAGCGUGGUGAACCUGUGGCCUUCACUUGAACAAGACUCUGAGAGUGUCGGCUAGAGCCUGCUGUAAGCUUUCUUCAAUAACAGCUCUACUAACAGCCUCGAGGACCAGCUCCUUGUUACUUAUUUCCUUGCAGAUGGCAGCAUCCAAAUUCCAGUUAUUUCUGUCUUGGAAAAUGAAAAACCCGACCAGAAGAGAAGGAAUGUGAGCUUGCAGCACAGUUUGGUACCUGGAAGACUCCGGGCUGGGGCGCGCGCUCCUGAUUUACGGCGUACUUGUUAAAACCACUUGUUCUUGUCAUAACAAAACAGAUCGAAGUGAAGUUUGGGAGAAGGUCUCCUUCUAGUUGGCACUUCAUCAUGGCUUCUUACUCCUUCUUAGGUUCUGGGGGUUUACAGUUAUAUAAAACUUAAUGAAUCAGUAUACUUUAGAUUUCCUUCCUAAUGCAUAUGGGUUCAAUUAACUGCGCUGUUUGCUUAUUUAAGCGUUUUCAUUAAAUUGCUUU